AGUAUAAAGAAACGUUUGUUUGAAACACAAUUGUAAAUAAGUUUGAAAAGUAAUAUACAAAGUAAAAUGUACAGAGAAAUAAGGAGUUUUAAACACAUAUAGUGAUUAUGAAAGACAUUUGAAGGAAAUUUUUUAGUAAAACGGCUAAUGAGUAGCCAAUCAUUUAAAUGGUGCUUAUUAAUCACAUGUGAUUGAUAUAAUAACUAGCAUAAUUGUACUUGUAUCCCCCGAUAAAACAUUUAAAAGUAGCUUAAAACAUUAUUUAAGGGGGUAUGAACUCACCUAUAGUGAGUGGUUCUGAUGAAAAUGUUGGAUCAGUUGCUAAGUAUCAAGUGGUGGCUUGAGUACACACGCGAAUCCUAUUUAGCAUAUAUUGGCACAUAUAUGAAUAUAAUUAGGGUUAUGAACAAUUAAUUAAUGAAUUGGGAACACCUUAGGGACUAGUGAAAUAAAUGAAAGAAAUGUUCUAUGCUUGAAGAAGUGAAAGAAAUGUUCAAAAAUGACUAAGUGUGGUAUAUAUAUAGGUGGAGUGUGCGGUUGGGAAGGGUGUGAGGCCGCAAACACAUGUGUGUGGCCGCACACUCAAGUGUGUGGCCGCACUCUCAUGUGUUGGAAUGUUUGGCCCCUUUUUGAAUCCUACACUUUGAGUUAAUCCAUUUCCACACUCCAACCUUGAUUAUAACAUGUUUAUAACGCACCAAUAGACCCUAAAUGGUACUACAUGAUAGCAAAACGAGUCUAUUAUUGAUAAGAAAUGAAGAAUGCAAGCUAGAAAUUUUCGGGUUGUCACGUCAUCCCCUUGUAAAAGGGAAUUUCGUCCCGAAAUUAGAAUUUAGACAAGGAAGUAGGUACAAAUGAUCGAGUCAUGAGGAGGAAACUUUCUAAUCGAUUGGUUCUAGCGCUCCUAAGUGAAAUAGGCUUCUCAGUUGGUAUCCCAACGAACCUUCAGUAACGGGCUGCGACGUUGCUUCGUCCACUUGACCUCUCGGUCGAGGGUCACUACGGUUCAAAUACGAAGGCAUGGAACUUGACGAGUGGACUUACAAGAGUCCUAACGGAAAGGUACAGUUUCACGAUCGAGAUGCGUAGAGUAGAAUGUACGCUACUGAGUUCACGGAGUAGGUCUAGUUUGUGCGAGGCACAGGACCGAUUCUGAUAAGAAUCUCGGAGGUCCUAACUAUAUUGGGUUUAGCUUUCCACGAGAUACAAAGCAUAUUAAGCCAUUCCCAGAGUGAGUUCUCCUAAAGAACUUGGUCACUCACUUGGAAACUCGAAGGUUUCUUUUUCUUGUUUAACUUCCCUGUCAAGGGCCACCCCUUGAUGGGUCAGAGUCGAAAGGGUUUCUUUGAUUUACGAGGAGUUCUGGAUGAACUAUGACAGUAGGUCAGUAAGACCUAGAAUUUGGCGAAUUUAUGUCGGUGUCUCCGGUGUCGACAAACUCUCAACGGUUUCGGAUAAUUGCCAGAGUACUCAAGAUUUUCCACAUCACUAAUAGUGUUUCUUUAGGAAAUUUUGACUCUUCAAUUCCAAAACUAGAGUUCAUAGAACUUUGCGAAAAGUAUCUCCGAAGGUAAUGUUUCCAGAGGUUCAUUCUUACCACGAGGGUUGAUAAGUAAGUCAUUACAUGGAGAAAUGACGAACUGAUCCAAGUAAGAAAGACGUACCCUACUCAUUUUAGCUUAUGAAAGCUAUGGGUGCGUUGGUCCUAUCCGAAGGGUAUCACUACGGACUUGAAGUGUCCGCAUCGAAUUCGGAAGGUAGUCUUCCGGACAUCCUUCCCUAACACUCGAACUGGUGAUAUUCGGAUCUCCGAUCCAUUUCUGAAAGUAAUUCUUUCCUUGCGUUUGCUCAACCAUUUCAUCUAUGCGAGGCAGAGAUAACGAUUUCUAAUGAAAAAUCUUGACGGAGUCCUCGAUUAUCCGAGGCACAUACGAUGCAAUCCGUCGAUCUCUGGGAUAAUAAGACUAGGGGUUCUCCAGGAUGAGAAGCCUAGUCUUCUUAUUCUAUCGCUGUGCAGUUCGUUAAGUUGUCUGUACUGUUCUAGUAUUUCCGUAGGUGUUUAGACUAUAGGGCGAUCUGUUUAAAAGAGUUGUACUGGGUUCUGAGUUUAUUCACAUGACGAUGCGAUUACUCGUAGGCUUAGGCAGUUCUCCGUCCUUAAGUUCAUAUUAGAAUUCAUACAUGUUUUCACAAUCACAAUCUCGUGUAUACGAGUCGUAUAUAAUUAAGAUAGAAAAGGUAGUCGAAUAACUGAUUCUUCUUUAAGCUCACAUCCCAUCGGGGAAAAAGAAGUUAAAGUGGAAUCAUCAAUUCUAAACCUGUAGAACCUUGAUUAUAUAUCACUCUUAUGUAUACAUUCCUCAGUGAUAAAUCAAUCGUAUGAAUCCUUGGAUUGAACUUGACGUACUGCACGAGUGGUACUUCGGGGAUUUCUUCGGAAAGAAAAUAUCUAAGAGGUACUCCCGGCAUGAGUACUUCGGUGUUCUAAAAUGACGGUUUCGUUAAAAAGACGUUUACUGAUAAAGAGAUGUACGUAUGAAGCUGGUAUGGUGUCGAUCAAAUUGAAUCUAGUUGUAUGAUAAUGUCGGAAUCAUACAGAAAAUUAAAGACAUUAGAUUUGAACAUAAGACGUUUACAGACAAAACACAACCGUGCAACCAUGAACAGAGUUACAGUACUUUAGAUUUACAACAAGACCAUUGCUGCGAAUAAGAUAUACUACAAAAGACAAGCAUACGCAACACGAGCAUCCCUAUAAAGACAGGAUCUCGCAAAAGGUAAGACCCUAGUUGCACUAGUUCUGGAUAGUUUAUAAGUCUGUUACUACGACACGCCUAAAUUACAUUAACGAGGUUCCGAAGUAGGUUCCCCUGCAGCUGUGAUCCUGAAAAUCUUCCCAUCUGCACCCGAGUUCUUCGCUAUCGGGCAAUCCUUCUUGAGGUGUCCAAUUUCACUGCACUGGUGACAUAUAUGGUCAACACCUACAUUGGUGGUGGAGGUGAAGUGUCGAUUAGGGGUUAUGGGGACACGGGUUCUUUCCUAGAAUUCCUUUUUCGGGCAAUCUCUUUUAUAGUGCCCAAACUCACCACAAUUAUAGCAAACUAGGCUUGCCCCAGUGGUGGAGGUAGUUCUACAGAAACGAGCAUUGUGCCCCAUCUUGUUGCAAUUAUCGCAUUGCAAGGCUCGGCACAUUCUCUCGUGGUGGUAGUUGCACCGGUUGCACUUCGGGAGUGUUCCUUUGUAUGGUCUGCUCGGUACGGGGAUGGUAGAGGUUUCCACUUGCUGUUGUUGCAUAGCAAGUUUUCGGGGUUUCUUGCGUUCUUUUUGGUCUUGACGCUUCCGUUUCUUGUUCUUUGAUUUUCGGCUUUGCGGGCCUGUGGCCGUUACCGUUUGAUGACUUCUUGGAUGGAUACCACGAUUGGAAACUUCAUUCCCAUCAACAGGAUUAAUUGUGCUGAUAGUGCUACGGUGCGCAAGGCCCGCGGUUACGGCAGCUACCACGACAGCUGUAACUAUUGUUUGGAAGGUAGCGGCGUCCAUAGUAAAGGAGGAGGUCUUGCCGUUCGACUGAUUGUUUCUGGGUGACGACAUGAUUCUGUAACACGAAAGAUAAGGAUUUUGUGAGCGAUUCUGGUUGACCCUUGAUGUACUUAGAUUAUUCAUGUAAAGAGUACGACUAUGUUCUCGAAAGUUUGACCUACAUCCCUAUGAUGCAGUCCUAGCACGGAUUGGAAGUAUGUUCACGGAGGUUUGACCUACCCCCCCUAUGAUGCAGUCCUAGUAAUGAGUAGAAGUAAGUUCGUAGAAUGGUCUCAAGACGUUUGUCGUUCAAGCCGAGGUAUCGUGGGUUUGUGAAUAACAAGAUCCAACCACUGAAAGAGACUUGGAAAUGUCUCCGGAGCUAAAUUACUAUAGUCCAAUGACUUGACUAAAGCAUGAUUCAGAUAGACUCCAAUGAAAGUAUGAUAAGAGUAAUUGAAUAAAGUAUGACACAGAAGUUACCCGACUGUCAGUAUCUUUGAUAUUCAUGACGUAAAAGUUCGGGAAAAUGACCUUGUAAAGGUUUUACAUAAUAUCCGGAUAAGAUAGUUCUUGACAGCAUAACGACCUAACCAAAAGUACUUACAGUACAAGGUAAUUUCAUAGAAAAUGCCACAUCGGGCAUAGAUAGAAAAACGAUUCCUGUUAACAAGGAAAAAUAAAGUAAAGCGUCUACUACCGGCGAUGGUCAUCCCUCUGGUGAACUCUCAGUUCUACUUGUAUCCCCCCCAUAAAACGUUUAAAAGUAGUUUAAAACAUUAUUUAAGGGGUAUGAACUCACCUAUAGUGAGUGGUUCUGAUGAAAAUGUUGGAUCAGUUGCUAAGUAUCAAGUGGUGGCUUGAGUACACACGCGAAUCCUAUUUAGCAUAUAUUGGCACAUAUAUGAAUAUAAUUAGGGUUAUGAACAAUUAAUUAAUGAAUUGGGACCACCUUAGGGACUAGUGAACACUUAUAUUGAAGUGUUACAACCAUAAAUGAUUGUACGAAGGGUUAAAAGGCUAUACAAGGGAGUGUACGGCCAAGAUACACACUAUAUGUGUGUGUGCGGACAGGUGUGCGGCCUAGUGUGCUGCCAGCACAUGUGUGCGGCCAUGUGUGCUGCCAGAUGGUGUGUGCUGCCAUGUGUGUGGCCAGAUGGUGUUCUUGGUACCUUUUAUGAAGAUCUUCAAGGAGAAUGGAUGAUACUUGAGAGGAUUUCGUGUUCUAUGCUUGAAGAAGUGAAAGAAGUGUUCAAAAAUGACUAAGUGUGGUAUAUAUAGGUGGAGUGUGCAGUUGGGAAGGGUGUGAGGCCGCAAACACGUGUGUGUGGCCGCACACUCAAGUGUGUGGCCGCACUCUCCAUGUGUUGGAGUGUUUGGCCUCUUUUUGAAUCCAACACUUUGAGUUAACCCAUUUCCACACCCCAACCUUGAUUAUAACACGUUUAUAACGCU
rnacentral:lncRNA from 1 species